rnacentral:misc_RNA from 1 species
CGGAGUUCAGUCUUCCCAGGCCCACCACUUUCAUCGAGUGAGCAUUCGUCUUCUGGUUACGGGGCCAUAGCUCAGCUGGGAGAGCGCGUGCUUUGCAAGCAUGAGGUCGUCGGUUCGAUCCCGUCUGGCUCCACCACGCUUCGCCUUUCAGGCUUCGCGUGGCGCAGCCAAGCACGGUCGAAGCGUGCCCGGCGUAGCUCACUUGAGCGUAGACGGGCUGGUUGAGAUCAGCCCGUAACCAUCACCGUCCGCGAAACAUCACUUCGCAUCCUGCUAGUCUGGAUAGACAGCAAGAUGCGUGUUUUCUGACAUCGUAAAGAGGAGAUCGAUCCGAGUUGGGUCGUGCAGCAGAUUGUUGCGCGAAUCCUUCAUUAUCUCCGGAUCAUUUUCGGCGCUCGCUUUCAGCCGUGAGGUUGAAUGCGAGUUGUAAAAUGAUCCUUUUAGCGAAGCUUGACCGCCUCGCUAUCGGAACGAUCUUACGAAGCAAGCUGGUCUUUCUAGUCAAUGUCCGGCUGCACGUAGCAUUCAUCGAGGGUGCGCGCCGUAAGGCAAUCGUGCAGACAACAUUCUGCCGAGUGUGUGGACAUUGAUAAUGAGAGCAAUCAAGUGCCUUAAGGGUGUUCGGUGGAUGCCUUGGCGCUGAGAGGCGAUGAAGGACGUGCUACGCUGCGAUAAGCCGUGGGGAGCUGCGAAGAAGCUUUGAUCCGCGGAUUUCCGAAUGGGG